CAAAUGCGUGAGGGAGACCAAGGGGAAGUUCUGGGCUAAGUUGAUCACAACAACCUAUUCUUGCAGUACUAAUCCAGUCCCAUGAGACUUAAAUCACUCCUGAGUCCAAUCUCAAGAGAACUACUACAGCCUCCCAGUUAAAACAUUAGUCCAUUCUGGAGGCUGGGACCCUAUGACCUAAUCACCUCUAAAGGAUCCGUCCUCCUACACAAUGCCAUACCGAAGAGAGGCUGGGAAGUCCAUGAUUAUGGCCCAAGAAGAUUCAGAGCCUGGUGAGGGUUCUCUGCUUCAAAGAUGGCACCUCUUUUUCUGUGACCUCACAUAACAGGACAAACAGAUCCCUUCCCCAAAACUAUGAAUGCAGAAGGGGCCUGGUGACUUGAACAGCAGAGGAAGUAAAAGAGGAGUUGAGGACGUUCAGAAGUCAAGAUGCAUCACUGAAAAGCAUCACCCUUGGUUCCCAAGGUUCUCAGGGUGAAGAUCAGAAUUCUAGACAGCAGGCCUUGUUCUGGCUAGUUCCUGUAUCAAGGCUAGUGACAGGAUGUGGCUCUGCCUGUGUCCCCAAUCCAGAGGACUGUCCUGGUACUGUUCACUGCAGGACACUUUCCAGUUUUUCUAGUCACAAGUUAAUCUGUGUUUCUUCUUGGGUUCUGUCCGUUUUCUCUACCAGGCUAUGAAUUGGAGGAAGGCAGACCAUGUCUGUUUAACAGACUGUAGCCUGAGCUUGGUGCAAGAAAAGUGUGUCUUACUAUUUGUUGAAAAAAAAAAUAAAUGAAUGAGGGAAGGUGUGAUAAAUUAGCUAUAGCUCCUGGUUGCAAGUGACAGAAUUGCCACUCAGAUGCUUAUACAAAAAUGAAGUGGUUGUGGCUGAUGUGAGUGGGCAGUGAAAGGCAGUGGACAGAGACAACUUCAUCAAAAUCAGUCUCUCUCUCUGUUGCUCUUUCUCUUCUCCUCUGUGUGGGCUUCUUACAAGGUAGUGCCCAAGCCCCCUCUUGCACAUACCCUCUUACCAGCCCAGCCAUCUUGUGGGAAGAGGUCUUCUUAUUUUCCCAUUGGUUCCAGCAAAAAUCCCAGAAUCUAUUCUGAUUGGUUGGGGCUGUGUCAUGUGAUCACUCCUGAGCCAAUCGCUGAAGCCCAAAGCAUUCUUACUGUAUUACACUGGAAUGAGUUUGAGCUCAUUCUCUAGGUUCAGGAUAGAGGAGAUUUCAUGAAAGUAGAGAUAAGGAGAGGGGGCUUUCCAGGAAAUGUUUGAGGAAGGGCAUAGAGUGAGUGACCAGGAAAGGGCACAGAACAAACCAUGCAUCAGGGGCAUGAAGUUCAUGAGAAAGUCUUAACGAGAAUUCAGGAUGUGGUUAUUGACAGGCCUGGGUGGAGUAAGCAGAGACCACUUCCUAGCUGGGGAACCUUGGUUGAGUCAUAACUUCACCUAACCUUGGUCUCCCCACUUAUAAAAAGGGAAUUUAGUGGCACACCCCAGUAAUCCCAGCGACUAGGGAGGCUGAGGCAGGAGGAUCGCAAGUUUGAGGCCAGUCUCGGCAAUUUGGGGAGACUGUAAGCAACCUGAUGAGACUCUUAAAAUAAAAAUUUAAAAAAGGACUGGGGAUGUGGCUCAGUGUUUAAAUGUCUCUGGGUUCAAUCCCCAAAACCAAAAAAUAAAAAUUAAUAAAAUGGGAAUUUGAAAACAUUCAUAGGGGUUUUGUGAGGAUUUUAUGAGACAAGCGAGCUAUGUGAAAGAAUUUUGUAACCAGGAAAGUGGACAGAGAGGCAAACCAACAUGAAGAUGGAAAGGGAGGGAGAAAUCAGAUUGUAAAGAAGACAAGAACUGAAAUCAUGGGGGUGAAUGAGAGAGAAGGGCUACCUGCCUCAGAGAAGGAGUAGCUAGAAAAUCAGGAGGAAUUUCGAAGAGACCAAAGGAUAGAAGAAAUCAAAGAAGGAGGGCUGCACCUGAUGUCAGGUGCUUCAGAGGGUCCAAGCAGGUGACAGAAGUACUUUCCAGAGAAGUUCCAUGAUCAUGGGUGCAGAAUCCAUAUCGCCAAGACUUAGGGUGGGAGUAGGUAGCAAGAAGUGGAAGACAAGAUUGUAGAUGCUCUUCUCAGAGGCUCCUGAGAGUGGUCUCCAGGGUUUCAUUAUUCUAGUGGAUCUGCCUAUUUUAGCUAAUAUGUGCAACAUUCUUGAAGCCUACGUCCAUAGUCUUAGUUUUCUCACUUCCCACAGCCCGCUGAGGUCCUCGAGAGAUUCCGAUGGUGAUGGUUUAGUGUUGAAUCCAGCAAUUUCUCUUUAUGUCUCAGUCUAUCUGUCCAUGAAGCAUCAUCUAAUGCUCUCUACCUCUGGUCCAAGAUAACAUUUGUGGUGGUGUCAAUACACGGGGUACAGAUUCUCUAGUAUUUUCUCCCUUUGUGCUCUCCCCUGAGUCUAGGCAGGUAUAGUAUGGUGGAAAUGAUUCUAUGUAACACUCAGGGUUGGGUCAUAAAAGGUCUGCAGCUUCUUCCUGGCACAGUGCUUCCAAAUGCAUCCUGACUGUUGCCUAUAUCAAUUAACUCAGUUCCUUUUUUGUUGUAUAGUAUUCCACUGUAUUGAUAUACCGCAGUGUGUUUAUCCAUUCACGAUUAACAAUCGUUUGUCUUGUUUUCAGUUUGGGGCGCUUAUAAAUAAAGCUUCUCUAACUGUU